UCUCUUCGCUUUUCUGUGAACUAAACAAAACUAAAUCUAUAACAACUCCUUAGUAUGUGAUUAUUUAAUGUGUAAGUGAUUGUU